UUUGUUGAUUUUUAUUGAACUUUUAGUGAAAACAGUAAACGUAAAAAUAUAUAUUUAUCUCCAUUAGUACAAGGAAACUAUUAUAUACAAAAAAUGAAAAAAAAAAAUUACCAUGCUUACAUAAAAAAUAAUUAGGCGUAAAAAUGUAAAAAGGUAAAUGGCUAGGAAUGGAGGGUCUGUAACUAAUAGAUACAUAUUUAUUGGAUUUUGAUGGAUUGUUCCGGUGAUAAAAUUUUAUCUUUUCUGCAAGAGAACGACAGUAUACAACUCUACUCAAUCGUCGUGAGCGUAUUUGAUCUCCCAUGAGUUUGCUACUGAUUCUUUCGUUAUCUAUGUUAACCCAUAAAAGUCGCAUUACAAACAUAUUCUCAGACGAGCAUAUAGUGGAUGAGAGAAUGUAUGAAUUAUUCUGAAUUUUACAAGUCAAGUCAAA